UCUCCGUUGGUGAACCAGCGGAGGGAUCUUUACAGAGUACUUCGGUCCGACCUCCAACCCUUUGUGAACCAAACUUGUUGCUUCGGGCGCGACCCUGCCGCUUCGGCGGUGCGGCGCCCCCGGAGGCCAUUAAACACUGCAUCAUUGCGUCGGAGUUAAAGUAAAUUAAACAAAACUUUCAACAACGGAUCUCUUGGUUCCAGCAUCGAUGAAGAACGCAGC
rnacentral:misc_RNA from 1 species